rnacentral:rRNA from 1 species
GACAGAGGGUGCAAGCGUUAAUCGGAAUUACUGGGCGUAAAGCGUUCGUAGGCGGCUUAUUAAGUCGGAUGUGAAAUCUCUGGGCUCAACCUGGAAAUGCCAUUCGAUACUGGUAGGCUAGAGUAAGGUAGAGGAGAGUGGAAUUUCCGGUGUAGCGGUGAAAUGCGUAGAUAUCGGAAGGAACACCAGUGGCGAAGGCG